UAACGAUGAACAGCGAACAGGCGUUGCUGGUCAAGAGCGUGGCGAACGUCGCCGACGAUAAUUUUGGUCCCGUAAAUGACGCGGAACCUCGGAGGGGCGGUGAAAAUCCCGGGCCGCCGGAGGCUGGAGAAGACGUCUGGCGGAUUGAAUUCAACUCCGGCGAGGCGUCCGCCGACGGAGGACAAGGGGGCCUCGUAGCGCAGCAACCGCAAGCGGAACCUGUGCCCGAUUGGAGAGGUGUGACCCCUUCGACAUCUCCGGUCGCCAUCCUGCUCUUGGCGCUCACCUUCGCCGUGUUCUUAUCCAUGAUUCUCAUGCACGUCUGGCGGCAGCGCAACUAGACAGUGCUGGCCGGCCCCGACGAACGCGCCUGGACACGGCGGAAGCACCGAAGAAGGUGGCCUUCGAAAGAAAGAACGCUCGAGCAGAAAAAAUUAAUAGAUUCCUGCUGAACAUACAUUUCAUUGAGCGCGAUUUGUUUAUACCGCUCCAUAGUUCUAAUUUCAGUUGCUGGAAAGCUGAAUUAUAAUUUAUGAGUCCAUUCGA